GACCAGCCGCUAUGAAUGUGACCAGC
rnacentral:piRNA from 1 species